GUGUACGACAAGCUGUUUCUCACAGUCAGAUCCUUGGAGUAGAUACGUCCGUGCAACAGGGCAAGUCACAAUUAGAGGUUGGAUGAUCACCUUUGAGGGCCGUGUAAUCUCUGAGGGCAUCCCACCAACAUUUGCAACAGGACUUGCCGCUGUGUUUGCAAUCUACUACAUAUUCAACCUUCAGUAUCAAGAUGAGGCAGCCUGCACUCUUCAUUCAGAGGCGCUUCAUUGGUAUAAAUCCAGAGAGCGGAACAAAGCCCAAAAUGGGCAAGGUUGUCUCCAAGAAGAAAGGUGUGAUCGUCCAGAAGAAGUCUUCUGCAGUCAAUACACACGUCACCAUGUUUCUGAAGAAUCUUAUUGACUUGAAUGGAACUUGAUAUAGACCGGACUAUUUUAAGAUGUAAAAACAAUAAUUUUAUGCUGAUUCAUGGACAUGAAAAUACACCUCCACCAUGAUCCCCUUGCCAGUAUUUGGAUCCUGAGAUCUCAGCCUUUACUGGACUUACAGUGUGGUGAGUUUGAUAUGAUGCAGCAGCCAUUUGGUUGUGUGGAGUCAUGUGGGAUGACAAAUCUACUUCAUAUGUUUUUAUCAUUUUUUUUUUUUUUACUCUUCAAAACACAUCCUCUAAGUUAGUCUUGGACUUUACUCUUCAAAACACAUCCUCUAAGUUAGUCUUGGACUUUACUCUUCUAGUAGU